UACAGAGGGUGCGAGCGUUGUCCGGAUUUACUGGGCGUAAAGCGCGCGCAGGCGGCAUACCAAGUAUUCAGUGAAAUCUCCCUGCUCAACGGGGAGGGUGCUGAGUAGACUGGUAAGCUAGAGGACGGUAGAGGGGGGUAGAAUUGCUGGUGUAGCGGUGAAAUGCGUAGAGAUCAGCAGGAAUACCCGUGGCGAAGGCGGCCCCCUGGGCCGUUUCUGACGCUGAGGCGCGAAGGCUAGGGGAGCGAACGGG
rnacentral:rRNA from 1 species